AAUGCAAGUCGAGCGGUAGCACAGGGGAGCUUGCUCCCUGGGUGACGAGCGGCGGACGGGUGAGUAAUGUCUGGGAAACUGCCUGAUGGAGGGGGAUAACUACUGGAAACGGUAGCUAAUACCGCAUAACGUCGCAAGACCAAAGAGGGGGACCUUCGGGCCUCUUGCCAUCAGAUGUGCCCAGAUGGGAUUAGCUAGUAGGUGGGGUAAUGGCUCACCUAGGCGACGAUCCCUAGCUGGUCUGAGAGGAUGACCAGCCACACUGGAACUGAGACACGGUCCAGACUCCUACGGGAGGCAGCAGUGGGGAAUAUUGCACAAUGGGCGCAAGCCUGAUGCAGCCAUGCCGCGUGUGUGAAGAAGGCUACUUCGGGUUGUAAAGCACUUUCAGCGAGUGACGGAAGGUGGUGAACUUAAUACGUUCAUCAAUUGACGUUACUCGCAGAAGAAGCACCGGUACUAACUCCGUGCCAGCUUCAGCCGCGGUAAUACGGCAGGGUGCAAGCCGUUAAUCGGAAUUACUGGGCGUAAAGCGCACGCAGGCGGUUUGUUAAGUCAGAUUGUGAAAUCCCCGGGCUCAACCUGGGAACUGCAUUUGACGUAACUGGCAAGCUAGAGUCUUGACGUAGAGGGGGGUAGAAUUCCAGGUGUAGCACUGGUGAAAUGCGUAGAGAUCUGGAGGAAUAACCGGUGGCGAAGGCGGCCCCCUGGACGAAGACUGACGCUCAAGUGCGAAAGCGUGGGGAGCAAACAGGAUUAAAUACCCUGGUAGUCCACGCUGUAAACGAUGUCGAUUUGGAGGUUGUGCCCUUGAGGCGUGGCUUUCCGGAGCUAAAGCGUUAAAUCGACCGCCUGGGGGAGUACGGCCGCAAAGGUUAAAAACUCAAUGAAUUGACGGGGGCCCGCACAAGCGGUGUGAGCAUGUGGUUUAAUUUCUAUGCAACGCGCAGAAACUUAUCUACUCUUUGACUCAGAGAACUUUCAUAAUGGAUUGGUGUCUUCGGGAAUUCUGAUUCUGGUGUC
rnacentral:rRNA from 1 species